AUUGAACGCUGGCGGCAUGCCUUACACAUGCAAGUCGAACGGCAGCACGGGAGCAAUCCUGGUGGCGAGUGGCGAACGGGUGAGUAAUAUAUCGGAACGUGCCCAGUCGUGGGGGAUAACGUAGCGAAAGCUACGCUAAUACCGCAUACGAUCUAUGGAUGAAAGCGGGGGAUCGCAAGACCUCGCGCGAUUGGAGCGGCCGAUAUCAGAUUAGGUAGUUGGUGAGGUAAAGGCUCACCAAGCCGACGAUCUGUAGCUGGUCUGAGAGGACGACCAGCCACACUGGGACUGAGACACGGCCCAGACUCCUACGGGAGGCAGCAGUGGGGAAUUUUGGACAAUGGGCGCAAGCCUGAUCCAGCAAUGCCGCGUGCAGGAUGAAGGCCUUCGGGUUGUAAACUGCUUUUGUACGGAGCGAAAAGGCUUCCACUAAUACUGGGGGCUCAUGACGGUACCGUAAGAAUAAGCACCGGCUAACUACGUGCCAGCCGCCGCCGUAAGAC
rnacentral:rRNA from 1 species